UACAGAGGGUGCGAGCGUUAAUCGGAAUUACUGGGCGUAAAGCGUGCGUAGACGGUUAUUUAAGUCGGAUGUGAAAGCCCCGGGCUCAACCUGGGAAUUGCAUUCGAGACUGAAUAGCUAGGGUACGGUAGAGGGAAGUGGAAUUUCCGGUGUAGCGGUGAAAUGCGUAGAUAUCGGAAGGAACAUCUGUGGCGAAGGCGGCCCCCUGGGCCGGCCCUGACACUGAGACGCGAAGGCGUGGGGAGCGAACAGG
rnacentral:rRNA from 1 species